rnacentral:rRNA from 1 species
GACAGAGGUGGCAAGCGUUGUUCGGAUUUACUGGGCGUAAAGAGUGCGUAGGUGGUGAGGUAAGACCUGUGGGAAAGACCUGGGCUUAACCCAGGAAGGUCGCAGGUGACUGCCUCGCUUGAGGACGGGAGAGGAGAGCGGAAUUCCCGGUGUAGCGGUGAAAUGCGUAGAGAUCGGGAGGAAGGCCGGUGGCGAAGGCGGCGCUCUGGAACAUUUCUGACGCUGAGGCUCGAAAGCAUGGGGAGCGAACAGG